GGGGAUGUGGCUCAGUUGGUAGAGUGUUUGCCUUGCAUGGAGAAGGCCCUGGGUUCAAUCCCCAGCAUCACAC
rnacentral:tRNA from 1 species